AUCCUUGAAAAGAGAAGAUCAAAAAGCUUCUUAAGAAGCUUUCUUGAUGGAGGGGAGCGGCAGACGGGUGAGUAACGCGUGGGAACGUACCCUUUUCUACGGAAUAACGCAGGGAAACUUGUGCUAAUACCGUAUACGCCCUUCGGGGGAAAGAUUUAUCGGAGAAGGAUCGGCCCGAGUUGGAUUAGCUAGUUGGUGGGGUAAAGGCCUACCAAGGCGACGAUCCAUAGCUGGUCUGAGAGGAUGAUCAGCCACAUUGGGACUGAGACACGGCCCAAACUCCUACGGGAGGCAGCAGUGGGGAAUAUUGGACAAUGGGCGCAAGCCUGAUCCAGCCAUGCCGCGUGAGUGAUGAAGGUCUUAGGAUUGUAAAGCUCUUUCACCGGGGAAGAUAAUGACGGUACCCGGAGAAGAAGCCCCGGCUAACUUCGUGCCAGCCGCCGCCGUAAUAC
rnacentral:rRNA from 1 species